rnacentral:lncRNA from 11 species
GAGGCGGGGAAGAAAGAAAGGCGCUUGAGAGCAGCCCAGGAUCCCUCCCACCCCUAGUUCUCUCCAUCCCAGCUUCUUGCAGGAAGAGGCCUGAGCAAGAAUGAGUAUGGAGAAGAGCCAAGGCGAAGAAAGCUUCUCCAGUCUGAUGCUGGAGGACAUAAAACGGAGGCUGAUCCGAGCUUUCCAAGACUCAAGCAAAGCUGCUGUUGUCCAGCUGCCUACAUCAAUUGAAAACCCUGGUAAGGGUACCACUACAUUGGCAGUUCAAGAGGAAUUACGAAGGAUGCAUGUUGAAGGAGCCAUUGCCUGGCUCCGUGUGGAACUGCUAGAGAUGAAAUCCCAGAACCGCAAGCUUGCCAGAACUCUGCUGGAUUUAAGCAUGGAAAUACAGAGGCUGAGAAAUGAAACCGACAUGACAGUGGCUAUAGAAUCAAAGACAUUAAGCACUACUGCAAACCCAGAAUAA